AUUGAACGCUGGCGGCAGGCUUAACACAUGCAAGUCGAGCGGGGAAAUGUAGCUUGCUACAUUACCUAGCGGCGGACGGGUGAGUAAUGCUUAGGAAUCUGCCUAUUAGUGGGGGACAACAUUCCGAAAGGAAUGCUAAUACCGCAUACGUCCUACGGGAGAAAGCAGGGGACCUUCGGGCCUUGCGCUAAUAGAUGAGCCUAAGUCGGAUUAGCUAGUUGGUGGGGUAAAGGCCUACCAAGGCGACGAUCUGUAGCGGGUCUGAGAGGAUGAUCCGCCACACUGGGACUGAGACACGGCCCAGACUCCUACGGGAGGCAGCAGUGGGGAAUAUUGGACAAUGGGCGGAAGCCUGAUCCAGCCAUGCCGCGUGUGUGAAGAAGGCCUUUUGGUUGUAAAGCACUUUAAGCGAGGAGGAGGCUACUAGUAUUAAUACUACUGGAUAGUGGACGUUACUCGCAGAAUAAGCACCGGCUAACUCUGUGCCAGCAGCCGCCGUAAUAC
rnacentral:rRNA from 1 species